CCUACGGGCGGCAGCAGUGAGGAAUAUUGGUCAAUGGACGCAAGUCUGAACCAGCCAUGCCGCGUGCAGGAAGACGGCUCUAUGAGUUGUAAACUGCUUUUGUACGAGGGUAAACGCAGAUACGCGUACCUUUCUGAAUGUACCGUACGAAUAAGGAUCGGCUAACGCCGUGCCAGCAGCCGCGGUAAUACGGAGGAUUCAAGCGUUAUCCGGAUUUAUUGGGGUUAAAGGGUGCGUAGGUGGUCGGUUAAGUUAGAGGUGAAAUCCCGGGGCUCAACUUCGGAAUUGCCUCUGAUACUGGUAGGCUAGAGAGUAGUUGCGGUAGGCGGAAGGUAUGGUGUAGCGGUGAAAUGCUUAGAGAUCUUACAGAACACCGAUUGCGAAGGCAGCUUACCAAGCUACUACUGACGUUGAGGCACGAAAGCGUGGGGAGCAAACAGGAUUAGAUACCCGAGUAGUC
rnacentral:rRNA from 1 species